GAUGAACGCUGGCGGCGUGCCUAAUACAUGCAAGUCGAGCGAACAGACGAGGAUCUUGCUCCUCUGACGUUAGCGGCGGACGGGUGAGUAACACGUGGAUAACCUACCUAUAAGACUGGGAUAACUUCGGGAAACCGGAGCUAAUACCGGAGAAUAUAUUGAACCGCAUGGGUCAAUGGUAAGAGACGGUGUUGCUGGCACUUAUAGAUGGAUCUGCGCCGCAUUAGCUAGUUGGUAAGGUAACGGGUUACCAAGGCAACGAUGCGUAGCCGACCUGAGAGGGUGGUAGGCCACAUGGGAACGGAGACACGGUCAAGAGUCCUACGGUAGGCAGCAGUAGGGAAUCGUCCGCAAUGGGCGAAAGCCUGACGGAGCAACGCGGAGCGAGAUAUGAAGGUCUUCGGAGCGUAAAAAUCUGUUAUGAGGUAAGAACAAAUGUGGAAGUAACUAUGCACGGCUUGACGGUACCUAAUCAGAAAGCCACGGCUAACUACGUG
rnacentral:rRNA from 1 species